UAACACGUGGGAACGUACCUUUCGGUUCGGAAUAAUUCAGGGAAACUUGGACUAAUACCGGAUACGCCCUUCGGGGGAAAGAUUUAUCGCCGAUAGAUCGGCCCGCGUCUGAUUAGCUAGUUGGUGAGGUAAUGGCUCACCAAGGCGACGAUCAGUAGCUGGUCUGAGAGGAUGAUCAGCCACAUUGGGACUGAGACACGGCCCAAACUCCUACGGGAGGCAGCAGUGGGGAAUAUUGGACAAUGGGCGCAAGCCUGAUCCAGCCAUGCCGCGUGAGUGAUGAAGGCCUUAGGGUUGUAAAGCUCUUUUGUCCGGGAAGAUAAUGACUGUACCGGAAGAAUAAGCCCCGGCUAACUUCGUGCCAGCAGCCGCGGUAAUACGAAGGGGGCUAGCGUUGCUCGGAAUCACUGGGCGUAAAGGGCGCGUAGGCGGACUCUUAAGUCGGGGGUGAAAGCCCAGGGCUCAACCCUGGAAUUGCCUUCGAUACUGGGAGUCUUGAGUUCGGAAGAGGUUGGUGGAACUGCGAGUGUAGAGGUGAAAUUCGUAGAUAUUCGCAAGAACAC
rnacentral:rRNA from 1 species